UUAGGUAGAUAGAUAAUAGCUUGAUUUUCAAGAGGAAAGUCCGUGCUACAGUGAAGCAAAGUUCCAUCUAACGGAUGGCUAGAGUAAUCUAAGGGAUAGUGCAACAGAGAGGAGACAGCCAAUUUAUUGGUGAUGGUGAAAGGGUAGAGUAAGAGCCUACCAGUUUUUAGAGCAAUCUAUUAAGCUAUGUAAACCCAACUUGUAGCAAGAAGACCUGGUAUUAAGCUUCACAACUAUUGGUCUUCGCAUGAAUAUUAAAGUGAUUUAAUAUCUAGAUAAAUUAUUAUCAAAUACAGAACACGGCUUAUAAUCUACCUAAGUUA
rfam:Arcobacter thereius strain 117434 AAX28_contig000001, whole genome shotgun sequence.